GACGAACGCUGGCGGCAUGCCUAACACAUGCAAGUCGAACGAGACCUUCGGGUCUAGUGGCGCACGGGGGGGUAACGAGGGGGAACCUGCACGUAGGUUCGGAAUAACUCCCUGAGGGGGGUGUUAAUACAGGAUAAUGUCUUAGGACAAAAGAUUUAUCGCCGUUGGAUGGGGCCGCGUUGGAUUAGCGGGUUGGUAGGGUAAAAGCAUGCCAAGGCCACGAUGCUUAGCUGGUGGGAGAGGAUGAUCAUCAACACUGGCAGUGCGGCACGGCCGAGAAUCCUACGGGAGGGAGCAGUGGGGAAUAUUGUACGAGGGGCGAAGGUGUGAUCCAGCAAUGCCGGGUGAGUGAUGAAGGCCUUAGGGUUGUACAGCUCCUUUAGCCGGGGUGAUAAUGACAGUACCGGGAGAAUAAGCACCGGCUAACUACGUG
rnacentral:rRNA from 1 species